GCGGGAUUAGUUAAUCGGUAUAACGAUACCUUGCCAAGGUAUAGUGACGGGUUCAAUUCCCGUAUCCCGCUCCA
rnacentral:tRNA from 1 species